GCGGGCGCGCCGAAGUUGGAGAGUCGGGGCCGGCUGUAACCCGGUUGCUGUGCGCUGAGGGGGUUCGAAUCCCUCCGCCCGCA
rnacentral:tRNA from 1 species